GAUGAACGCUGGCGGCGUGCUUAACACAUGCAAGUCGAACGGUGAAGCAGAGCUUGCUCUGUGGAUCAGUGGCGAACGGGUGAGUAACACGUGAGCAACCUGCCCCUGACUCUGGGAUAAGCGCUGGAAACGGCGUCUAAUACCGGAUAUGAGCUGCGAUCGCAUGGUCAGCAGUUGGAAAGAUUUUUCGGUCUGGGAUGGGCUCACGGCCUAUCAGCUUGUUGGUGAGGUAAUGGCUCACCAAGGCGUCGACGGGUAGCCGGCCGGAGAGGGUGACCGGCCACACUGGGACUGAGACACGGCCCAGACUCCUACGGGAGGCAGCAGUGGGGAAUAUUGCACAAUAGGCGAAAGCCUGAUGCAGCAACGCCGCGUGAGGGAUGACGGCCUUCGGGUUGUAAACCUCUUUUAGCAGGGAAGAAGCGAAAGUGGCGGUACCUGCAGAAAAAGCGCCGGCUAACUACGUGCCAGCAGCCGCCGUAA
rnacentral:rRNA from 1 species